AACGAACGCUGGCGGCAGGCCUAACACAUGCAAGUCGAACGAACUCUUCGGAGUUAGUGGCGGACGGGUGAGUAACACGUGGGAACGUGCCUUUUGGUUCGGAACAACUCAGGGAAACUUGAGCUAAUACCGAAUGUGCCCUUCGGGGAAAGAUUUAUCGCCAUUAGAGCGGCCCGCGUCUGGAUUAGCUUGUUGGUGAG
rnacentral:rRNA from 1 species